GACGAACGCUGGCGGCGUGCUUAACACAUGCAAGUCGAGCGGAAAGGCUCCUUCGGGGGUACUCGAGCGGCGAACGGGUGAGUAACACGUGAGUAAUCUGCCCUGCGCUCUGGGAUAGCCACCGGAAACGGUGAUUAAUACCGGGUAUGACCGCUACUCGCAUGUGUUGGUGGUGGAAAGUUUUUCGGCGCAGGUUGUGCUCGCGGCCUAUCAGCUUGUUGGUGAGGUAAUGGCUCACCAAGGCUUUGACGGGUAGCCGGCCUGAGAGGGUGACCGGUCACACUGGGACUGAGACACGGCCCAGACUCCUACGGGAGGCAGCAGUGGGGAAUAUUGGACAAUGGGCGGAAGCCUGAUCCAGCAACGCCGCGUGAGGGAUGACGGCCUUCGGGUUGUAAACCUCUUUCAGUACCGACGAAGCGAAAGUGACGGUAGGUACAGAAGAAGGACCGGCCAACUACGUGCCAGCCGCCGCAGUAAUAC
rnacentral:rRNA from 1 species